AUUGGGUUGGCUGGUGGCAGCAUUGAUGUAAAAUUGAGUGGCAAGUUCCGCUGUCUUCCUCACAUAGUUGUGGCGCUUCUCCAUUCGAAGACGAGCAAACCGUAGAGCUGAUUGCCCACCUCUUCCAUGUUUCUUUGGAAGGUCAACACUAAAUUUAUGAAGAACCUCUCUAGUAUUACCACUUAAAGUCCCAAAAAGGGUCCCAUUACCAUCCAUGAUAAUAAAACCAAACUUGU